UACGAAGGGGGCUAGCGUUGCUCGGAAUCACUGGGCGUAAAGGGUGCGUAGGCGGGUCUUUAAGUCAGGGGUGAAAUCCUGGAGCUCAACUCCAGAACUGCCCUUGAUACUGAGGAUCUUGAGUUCGGGAGAGGUGAGUGGAACUGCGAGUGUAGAGGUGAAAAUUCGUAGAUAUUCGCAAGAACACCAGUGGCGAAGGCGGCUCACUGGCCCGAUACUGACGCUGAGGCACGAAAGCGUGGGGAGCAACAGGGAUAAGAUACCCCUGU
rnacentral:rRNA from 1 species